GAGAAUAUUGUAGAAAGAGAAGGUGGUGCUCUAAGGAGACUAUAUGGUUCUGGGCAUCUAACUGAUCAGCCAGAUUUUUUUAAAGAACUGCAAUGGUUGGCUUGAAAGAGAUCAAGAACAUAUUCGAGACUCAAGAACUAUAAUACUCAGUUUUCCUUGCCAUUCCAAAUGCUGUGAUAAAUGAAGAUGCAUCAGGAGAUGUAGUGGCACUUCAACACCAGAUACGACUUCUCAAGUUUUUAUUUGCUUAGGAGGAACUUGCUAUCCUUAAACGCAGAAUACAUCCAACUCUCUAAUAUUUAGUUCAAAAGAGGAGAAUUUUAGCAAUGCAAGUUCAUACGGAGACGAUGACAAAGUUUUGAAGGGUUUCAUGUAACCAGGUAUUUGCCUUUAUGUUUUGAUGUAAGGACUUUACUUUUGGAUUUGUUACAAGGAACAAUAAUGGAACCUCAACAGCUUCAAUUU